rnacentral:misc_RNA from 1 species
GUAGGUGAACCUGCGGAAGGAUCAUUAACACGUAUCCACGUAUCAACCCCUCUGUGAAAACGCAAAAGCAGCAAGGUCUGGUCUUAGUGCGUCUGUCUGCUAUGGGUCCUAAUGAUGGGUGACUCUCUCUCUCUCGGGGGAGGGUCACAGGGCUCGGACGGCGUGUGUUUGACGAUCAACCGAUACUUUUCCAUUGUUGGCCUUUACCCAACUUUUUAACCCCUUUGUACUCUUUUGUACUGAACCAUUC